UUCCGCAUGGUUUCAUUAUUAAAGGAUUCCGGUAAAGGAUGGGGAUGCGUUCCAUUAGGUUGUUGGUGAGGUAACGGCUCACCAAGCCUUCGAUGGAUAGGGGUUCUGAGAGGAAGGUCCCCCACAUUGGAACUGAGACACGGUCCAAACUCCUACGGGAGGCAGCAGUGAGGAAUAUUGGUCAAUGGGCGUUAGCCUGAACCAGCCAAGUAGCGUGAAGGAUGAAGGCUCUAUGGGUCGUAAACUUCUUUUAUAUAAGAAUAAAGUGCAGUAUGUAUACUGUUUUGUAUGUAUUAUAUGAAUAAGGAUCGGCUAACUCCGUGCCAGCAGCCGCGGUAAUACGGAGGAUCCGAGCGUUAUCCGGAUUUAUUGGGUUUAAAGGGAGCGUAGGUGGACUGGUAAGUCAGUUGUGAAAGUUUGCGGCUCAACCGUAAAAUUGCAGUUGAUACUGUCAGUCUUGAGUACAGUAGAGGUGGGCGGAAUUCGUGGUGUAGCGGUGAAAUGCUUAGAUAUCACGAAGAACUCCGAUUGCGAAGGCAGCUCACUGGACUGCAACUGACACUGAUGCUCGAAAGUGUGGGUAUCAAACAGGAUUAGAUACCCUGGUAGUCCACACAGUAAACGAUGAAUACUCGCUGUUUGCGAUAUACAGUAAGCGGCCAAGCGAAAGCAUUAAGUAUUCCACCUGGGGAGU
rnacentral:rRNA from 1 species